rnacentral:lncRNA from 1 species
AGACAGGCUCAGCUCCCAGCUGCAACUGGCAGGUCUGAGGCUCAGUUCUCACAGAAGAGCAAACCCACCAAGGGCAGCGCUCGCCUCCGGAGCCAUGUGCUGGCCUGGGGAGCCUGCCACCUCGAGGGCCCAACAACUUCUCAGAGUGGGGGAGGGGCCCGGCAUCUCCUGAGCCGCAGCUCCCCGAAGCUCCUGGCUGAUAUCCACCGACCUGUGAUGUCAUCCACAAACACAUGGAAGGCAAAAGUGCCUCUCCCUGGGAAUGAAAGGGCAGGGGCUGGGCUAGUCACCGCAUGGGAAGCAGAAACCAGACACAGACAGAGAGAGCACCCAGAAGAAAUCAGAGCACAGCCAAACUUCUAAUCAGAGGUAAGAUGCAAAAGGAAGGUCCAGCCUUCUGGAGUAUGCAGAAGGUUUGACAAAGGCUGUCGUGGGGCUAAAUGAAUGUGAUCAUCCAGAGAUAAAUAAGGAGAAGAAAAGCUAUGGAUUCCUUCAAAAUGAAUGAAAAUCAGAUUUGAUCAGGGGAGACCCCCUGAAGAUCCUGACUGCAGACAUGAAAGAAAUCAAGAAUACCAACAAAACAGACAGGUCAGCUCCAGGCAGCACCCCCAUUCUACUUCAUAGAAGAUGAUGAGCAUCGAGAACCUCUGUACGGAGUUUGCUUCAAAUGUGGCAAACAAGCCACUGGGCAAGAAACUGCCCUUGCUUCAGCCGCUGACAGUAUGCUGUCCAAACUGGACCAACAGGAUGCAGGAGUUGCCCUGGUCCCAGUGUCUCUUCACAACAGUGAACAGUGUCUAAACAGGUUUCAAAUUUUGAUUGGUUGGAUGAAGCAUCUAUCAAAAGAUGGCUUAUUGAAAGAGUUGGAGAUGCCUGAUACCCCUUGGCUUAGUGCUGCUGAAGGGAUUUUAAGGCUCAGGGAAUUGCAGUGCUCGAGUGGGUACGCUGUGUAAAACCUCCACAACGUGAAGGCCCAGAAGACACGCCCUUCACAAAUCCUGUAAGACACAAAAUGGUGCACCAGCACAUUUGAAGAGUUUUGCCCUUUUCCUUGUGCCAGACCUAAGGGCUGGAGAUGCUGCUGCUCAGUGGAUGAAUUAAAUGCAAUGGGUUUAACUGGGGCACAGAGUAGCAGGGCCAGGUGGCAGCACUGAAUUAACUAAGGCAAGGUGAUCAUAGUUAUUCCAAUGAGCAGCACAACAACAAAGCAAUGAUCGUAAUAGCCUGCCAUGAUGGUCAGCACAGGCAAAGUGAAUUUUAGGGUGGCAUGACUGGUAUGGACUUAGGUACUGGGUAACCAACCAUGGUGUUUCCAGGCAUGAAACAGGAAGCCUACUAUGUAAGAGGAAAAUUUCUCAAACAAAUAAAAGGCUUACAUUAAGUCAUGAUCAAGAGAGAAUCUCAACCUGUGAACCAAUUUCUAGAGUUGAGCCAGUUUGCAGACCCAGAUCUCCUUGAAUGAGGGAGUGGCCAAGUUCCACUGAUUAAGGACCUUGAUAAGACACCUAAAAGUUUUACUGUUAGUCUUUCUCCUGUCCUUCCCCAGAGGGACCUACGGGCUUUUAGAAGGGAAAUUGUACACGAGGGGAAGGAAACUAUCAGACUUCCUGAGGUCUACUGAAUGCUGUUCUGAACUGACCCUGGUUCUGGGAAACCCCUAGAGACAUGGUGGCCCAUCAGUUAAAGUCAGAGCUUAUGAUAGGAGCCAGGUGAUUAAUGGAGUUUAGGCUAAAGUCUGACUCAUAGUAGGCUCAGGGAGAGCCUGAAUUUCUCCUGUGGUUAUUUCCCAAGUCCCAGAAUGUAUAAUCGGGAUAGAUAUACUUAGAAGUUGGCAGAGUUCUCACACUGGUUCCCUGGUCUGUGGUGUGAGGGCUAUUAUGGCUGGAAAGGCUAAAUGGAAGUCUUUAGAGUUGCCUCUCUACCAUGGAAAAUAGUGAAUCCAGGAACAAGUGUCACCGUCAAGGACUUGGGAGACAAAGCGGGGAGAGGGGCUCCCAGGUCUCCCUUUAGCCCUCCUACCUGGCCUGUACAGAAUAUUUUGGUAAGAACCUGUUUGCACAGAUAUUUGUGUUUUCUUCACUAAGUUUCUUUAUCAUACAGUGUAUCAUCAAUUGAGAUAAUAUCAAUGGUUCUCACAUUUAAGUUAUGAGGUAUUAAAGUAACUUUCCUCAAAGGACAUUGCCACCUAUUCUAAAAUGUAUAAUGAAUUUGUGGUUGUACAUGUUCAAGUUAUAAAUUA